rnacentral:rRNA from 1 species
AUGCAUAUGUGCAGUCAGGCGGGGACACCGAUGGAAGACGACGACGCGAGCGGGAUCAUUCUCUACUGCGACGAAGACCCUUUCGCCGACGACUCGACGCCAAUUCCACCACCGGCAGCACCAUCCGGCGGCGACGUUGACGAUGUGCAGCAGGUGGUUGAUCUGGCCAUGGCGUACAAGGCCAGGGAGCGAUGCUUUGCGCCCGUGGGAUCGGCUGCCUACAUCCACCGUCUCCUACACGACCAUCAUCAGCACGGCGGGGUGUCAAGCGCUAGGGCCAAAGCCGUCCACUACAUCAUCUACGCGUUUAGCCGGUUGGGAUUGGCGGCUGCGACGGCGUUCAACGCGGCCAACUAUCUGGACCGCUUCUUGUCCAUCAACUGCCAUCUGAGUUGGGAGGUAUGGAUGGUGGAACUGGUGAGCGUGGCGUGCUUGUCGGUUGCAUGCAAGUUGGACGAGGUCACCAUACCAUCCCUCCACGAUCUACAGAUGGAGGAGGUGACGAGUCAUUCGUUCCGGGCGUCGACCAUCCGGGACAUGGAGCUGACGCUGCUCAAGGCGCUCCAAUGGCGGCUGUCCUGCGUCACCCCAUACUCCUACCUCGACCUCCUCCCGCUUCCCACCACCGCCGCCGCCAAUCGAUCUCGUUGCAUCCGCCUCCUCCUUCGAUCCCUCUCCGAGCCCUCGUUUCUCCGAUUUGACGCCUCUGUGGUUGCCGCCGCUGCACUCAGGUGUGUGGCCCUACUGCAGGAUCAUGCCCAUCUCAUUAUCCCUCCACUCUGUCGAUUGGGCGAUGAGUCUGACGAGUGCUUCAAGAUGAUGAAAGCACUUGAAACAAGCUUGGAUCAUCAUCAAUAUCACAAGUACAGUACUGCUGAUCAGCUGCAGGGGAGUCCGAUUUCAGUGAUUGCAUUCGAGAGCACUGAGCGUGACAGUACAGUUAACAGCAGGUCAGCACUCAGUCGGCGCCUGUUUGGCACACCAACAACACUGGACCCAUGA